rnacentral:rRNA from 1 species
AUGCCGCUCUUCAUGUCCGACGAGGAGCUCCGGCUCCUCGGCGGGGACGUGGCCGCGGUCGCCGAGCGGGCCGACGCCGCCAUCCGCGAGCUCCGGAACCAGGUCGACACCGUCCGCGCCGAGGCCGACGCGGCGGCCAUCGCGGCCGAGCAGACCUGCGCCCUCCUCGAGCAGCGCUUCACCACCCUCUCCGCGGAGGUCGAUCGGUACCAGGCCGAGGCGGCCGAGCACACCGCCGCCUCCGAGCGCCGCGCCGCCGACCUCGCCUCUUCCCAGGCCGAGAUACACCAGCUCCGCAUCCAAGCAAUUGCAAAAGAUGGCGAGGUCGAGCGUCUCAAAGUGGAAAUCUCGGAGCUGCACAAGUCCAAGUGCCAGUCGCUGGAAUUGAUCGAGCAGAGGGACGCAGAGAUACGGGAGAAGGAUGGCGUCAUUCAGAGCUACCAUGAUAAGAUGGUAAAUCAGGCUGACUCUUCUGCUGGUAAAGAGGCUAGGAUACACGAGGUUGAAGCUAAGUUAACUCACUGCCAGGCGACAUGUAACCGCAUUGAACAGGAGAAGGAGCUUCUUGAAAAGCAUAAUCUCUGGCUUGAUGAGGAACUGAAAGCAAAAGUAAAGAAUCUAUCUGAUCUAAGAAAGGCAAACAUGGAUGAGGAGUCCCGGAUGUCAGCAAAGAUUGCAGAGCUUGAAAGAGAGAUUUCUGAAUCUACAAGUUCCUUGAGGCGAAGUAAAGAACGGAUUUCUGAGCUUGAGCAAAGAGUAUCUUAUAUGGAAAAGGAGCUACUCUCAGCAAAGGAUGCUGCAGCUGCUAAUGAGCAACGCCUUGNNNNNNNNNNNNNNNNNGUCAUGAAACUUGCUGAACUUCACAAAGAAAGUUCUAGCGAAUGGUCAAAGAAGGCUGGGGAACUUGAAGGUGUUAUUAAAGCUUUGGAGACACAUUUGACCCAAGUUGAAGAUGAUUACAAGGAAAAGCUUGGGAAGGAGACCUUGGCCAAGAGUGAUCUUGAAAUGGAAGUUGCCAACUUAAAGCAGAAGAUACAGAAGUGUGAACUUGAUUUGGAAAAUUCAAGAAAGUCUGGUGAAAUGAGCCUUGUACCAUUCACCAACAUUGCAGCAGAACCCGCUAAUUUAAGUGAUACACCCAUGAAAGAAAUGUCACUUUCUGAUGAUGUAAAUCGAAAUGACCUAAUGAUAGUUCCAAGAGUACCUAGUGGUGUUUCUGGAACUGCAUUAGCUGCUUCUCUUCUUCGUGAUGGCUGGAGUCUUGCUAAGAUAUAUGAGAAAUAUCAAGAAGCCACUGAUGCUUUACGCCAUGAGAGGUUUGGGAGGAGACAUGCUGAAGCGGUUCUGGAAAGGGUCUUACAUGAAAUUGAGGAGAAGGCUGAACUCAUCUUAGAUGAGCGAGCCGAGCAUGAGAGGAUGGUUGAAGCUUAUGCUCUAAUGGAUCACAAAUUGCAGCAGGCAUUGUUGGAGCAUGAUAAUUUUGAGAAUACCAUAAGGAAUCUAAAGUCGGAGUUGAAAAGGUGGGAACGUGAUCAUUUUAUUGCUAACAAGGAAAUAGAUGACCUGCAAAAACAAGUCGCUGUUCUUUUAAAGGAAUGUCAAGACGUACAGCUUCGUUGUGGUUCUAGUGUUCCCAUUGCAGGUCAUGGUGCUGCUUCUACCAGCAUAAGCAAUGGCAUGUCUAAUGCUGAAAACAAUAACCACGCACAUAUGACAUUUAAUGAUAUUAAUGGGCUCGUUCAGCAAAAUGUUCAACUUCGAAAUAAAGUUCACAUGCUCUCUACCGAUCUUGAAAAUAAGGGCGUGGAACUCAGGGAGAGCUUCCAAAUCGAGCUGAAGAGAAUCACAGACGACGCUGCAUCAAGAGUUGAAAAAGUUAUGAAGAAAUCCGAAGAACAAGCAAUAAUGAUUGAAUCUCUUCAUAGAUCUGUUGCGAUGUACAGGAAAUUGUGUGAAGAACAGCAGAAGACUCGUUCCAGUAUCGAAAACAUAUCCAGUAAUCUGCAAGAUGAUGGCAGAAAUGACCUGAUGGUGCUGUUUGAAGGAUCACAGGAGAUCUCGAAGAAAACACAUGAACAAGUCUCUGAGCGGGCCAGAAAACUCGAUGAAGAGUUGACCAAGUUGAGGACUGAGCUUAUGUCUUUGCGAUCUGAGCGUGACAAGGCAGUGCUGGAAGCUAGUUUUGCUCGAGACCGGCUUAAUGGGUUCAUGGCAGAGAUUGAUCACCAGAGAAAGGAAGCUAAUUCUGUUUCGCUCAGAAAUGCGGAGUUGAUGCAUUUAGUAGUUGAUUACGAAAAAAGACUCCGUGAAAGUUCAGAUUCUAUGCAAGCUUUAGAGGAGAGCUCAAGGAAACUGUCAAUGGAGGUGUCUAUUUUAAAGCAUGAAAAAGAGAUUUUAGUGAAGUCAGAGAGAAGAUCUUUGGAUGAAGUCAACAGUUUGUCUGAGAGAGUGCACCGUCUGCAGGCUACCAUUGACACAAUACAUACUACUGACGAGGUUCAAGAGAAUGCAAGGUCCAUGGAAAGGAGAAAUCAACAGGAGUACAUCAAGCGACUAGAGAGAGACUGGGCUGAACUAAAAAAGGAGGUUCAAGAGCAACGAGAUCAUGUUCGCGUCCUGACACUUGACAAGAAAAAUGCCUUUGAGGGCUGCAUGAAGCAGGUAGAGGAUAUGAGACAAGAGUUACAGAGCUCAUGGAAAGCUUCUAGUGAUGCUGAGGCGAGGGCUGCUGUUGCAGAGGCAAAGUGUUCAGAUCUGGAGGUGAAACUCAAAUCAAAAAGGAUCAUAUUUAGGGACGGUGGUCAUGAUAACUCAGCAGUAAAUGAGGUGAAUGAUGAGCUUUUCCGGUUGAAAGAGGAGUUGGAAAAAUGCAAGGAGGAAGCACAAGCAAAUAAUAACUAUAUGCUUCAGUACAAAGAAAUUGCAAACUCAAAUGAAGUUGCAUUGAAGCAAAUGGAAUCGGCAUACCAGGAUUACAAAACUGAGUCCGAAAUGGCCAAAAGAAGCUUGGAAGAUGAGAUCGCUAAGUUGAGAAGUAAGUUGUCUGAAUUUGAGAAAAGCUAUGUGAUGAAGUGUGAAGAAGCUGCCAGUGCAAUUGAAGUUAAAGAGAAAGAUAUCACUACUCUUAUGAAUGACAUUACGAUCCUGAGGAAUGAAGUUUCCCAGAAAGUAUCGCGGAUUGAGAACUUAGAAGUUGAAUUGGCUUCCUCAAAGAGUGCUCUUGAUGAGCAGUGUAAGCGUUGGCGUAGCGCGCAAGACAACUACGAGCGGCAGGUUAUCCUGCAAUCUGAAACAAUACAGGAGCUGACAAAUACUUCUAAGCAACUGUCUUCAUUGCAGCAAGAAAUGGCAAUGCUUCGUCAAACAGCAGAUGCACACAAGGCUGAAAAUGAUGCUCUAAGAACGUCUGGUGAGCAAGAAAAGAUAGAGUUGGUGAAAGAAAAGGAUGAGGCCCUUCGGAAGUAUAGCGAGCUAAAUGAUCAGAAUAAGAUUCUACACAACCGAUUAGAAGCUUUGCACAUUCGAUUAGCUGAGCAAGAACGGGGUAUUGCUGGGCUUUCAUCGCAGCGAACCGACUCACAUGGAGAGGAUGAUUUGCAUGGCGUUGUCAGCUACUUGCGCAGAUCAAAGGAAAUAGCGGAAACAGAAAUAUCGUUGCUUAAGCAGGAGAAAUCACGGCUUCAGAUAGAGCUGGAAAGUGCAUUGAAGUCCAGCAAGGAGGCACAGGACUUGCUCCGCAGUCAAGCUGAUAGUGCAAGAUCAUCAAUGUUCAAGGAUGAAGAAUUCAAGUCGCUGCAACUCCAGGUGAGAGAAAUUAAUUUGCUUCGUGAAAGCAACAUACAGCUUAGAGAGGAGAACCGACACAAUUUUGAAGAAUGCCAGAAAUUCCGUGAGGAAGUUAACAAAGCUAAAAUAGAGGCUGAAAGAUUGAAUAAAAUUCUACUGGAGAAACAGGUAUAUGCUGAAGUGUGUACAAAAGAUCUAGACAUGAAGAAGACUGAAAUAGCAAAUCUCAACCAAAGGAUUUCUGAGUUGGUUGAAAACAGUAGAGGCGUCGAUUUGAACACAUAUGAGACCAUGAAGGGUGAACUUCAAAAUAUCAAAUCAACCUUGAGAGAGAAUUCAGUUGAGCUUGAGCGUGCAAAGAAUCUUCUUUCCGAGAGGGACGUUGCCAUAAGAAAUUUAGAUGAGAAGCUUGCUGGCUGUCAGUCUGAAUUGGGAGCUAGGGAAAAGAAGCUGAAUGAUGUUGAGGCUAGCCUGAAAUCUGAAAUUGAUAGACAGAAGAAGAUUACCUUCACCUACAAGAAAAAGGUUGAAGUGUUAAUGCGAGAGAAGGCGGAUCUUAUAAAAGAAAAUAAAAGCCUUUUGAAGCAGAUUGAAGAUCUUAAAUCAAGUCAGAAAAUGCCGAUGGAAACAUCAAAUGUUCAGGCCGUAAAAGAGAAGGACAUCAGGAUACAGACACUGGAAAAAAUCUUGGAGAAGGAGAGAGAUGAUCUCAAGAAAGAAAAGGCAAGCCGCAAAAAGGCUGAGAACGUUUUCUACGUCGCUGUUCAAAAUCUAUCAAAGGAGAAGAAGCAAAUAGAGGAAUCGAUUGAGAAGCACCGGCAGGCUGUGAAGGAGGUGAUUGAGCAUUAUUCUGGACAAUCAUCUCAAAUCCCGUCUGGAUCAGCAGUAGAGGAGCAGUUCCGUUCAUAUUUCCUUGCGGCUAAAAAAAUGGAGGAGUCUCCUAGCCCGUUCCAAGAUGGUUCAACUAGCCAGACACCACCUAUUGAAACUCCCACUGUCGAUACAGCUGCGACAGGGCGGCAGGUAGCUACUCCGCCAAGGCCUGCUCAAGUUAAAGUGAUGGAGGAGAAAGCAGUUUCUUCUUUGCCCAAGCCAAGUACUGAACAACGCAGAUCAAGAAGGGUGCUCGUUCGGCCUAGUCUUGAACGAAUUGAAGAGCCCCAGGCUGAUGCGGCUACACCAGUUGUCGAUGGUUCUGCAGUACAAGAGAAAGGUGGCACGUCGACAGAACGAGGUUCCACAGUAGUUCAGGAAAAAGGUGGCCCAUCACUGGAGCGUGAAACUUCUGGCAGUGUGUCUGUAUUGCCUUCUGGUCGCAAACGUCUCAUGCCAUCAUCGCAGAUGAGAGAUGAUGCAUCACAUGGAGAGGCUAAUGAUGCCAAUCCUCCAUCAAAGAAACCUAAAGAGGAUUCUGUUCAGAGUUCCAGUGAGUUAAAAACUGAUCAAUCGGCCCCUGAAGAUGUAACGACUGAGGCUCCUGUGGUUAUUUCGAUAGACAACCAAGAUGUGCAACAACAGCCUGGAGAAGAGAUGAACACGGAUCAGGCUUCCAUGCCAGUUGAAGAGGUUGAGGACAUCAAGGAUGACGAAGCGGGUAACAAUGAUGACAUGGAAGAAUAUACAGGUGCAUCAAUGGACAUCGAAGGCCAGGAUGCUGAAGUUAAUAUGGACAGUGAUGCAACUGCUGUGGAAGAUGUGCCGCUUAAGUCAGAGGCAGUAGUGGAAUCGUUUGAUGAAGACCAGAAACACGAAGAUGCGAAGGAAGAGGGCCAGAUUACUACAGCCACCGAUGCCGAGGAUGAGAGGGAGGAGGGGGAGUUGCCGGAUGAACCUGAACAACAAUCAGAUAGCAGUCCCCUGGAUAUUGGUGAGCAAGCAGGUGAUGCUUUCAGGGCAGCAUCUCCAAGUGGGGCAGCAGCAAAGAGCGAUGCAGACAUGUCAGAGGAGAUUGUAGAAGGUGAUGGUACUGCUGAACUUGCUGAGGUGGAGCCAGACCAAAGCCCUCUAGCACAGUCAGGCGGAGCGGAUGCAUCACCAAGCAGAACCACAGAUGCAUCCCCUGUACGUGAACCUUCCCCUUCAAACCCAGCCAUUGCUGGCGCAUCUUCUGAACAACAGAAUCCCGGUACCGCAGCAGAGAAUGUGGGAAGAACAAUCAACUUGACGGAGAGGGCAAUACAAAACAGAACAAACAGACAAAACAGACUUGUACGGACGAGCACUCCACAGCCUUCCUCUUCCAGGGGUCGUUCUCGAGAAGCCGGGCGCGGACGUGGACGUUCCCGGCGAGGUGGUCAGCCAUAGUGAGGUGGAAAAAAAUUGGUGUCGUCGCUGGAAACUUGUAGUUGCAUCUUUUGCCCAACUACGUAGACUACUUUUUGCCAUGAACUACUGAACAAGCUUUGCUGCCGGAGUAAAGCAUUGCAUGACUAGUAGCCGUCGAGUAAGCAAAUAUACGCUGCCCGACUCGUUUACAAAUGGUAUGAUACUAAGCGGCUGUGUUAUGGCGCGCUCAUGUGCGCUUGAAUUGCUGUGAGGUCACAUCACUAAUUGCUACGUGAAACUGGUCAUCAAUCGUGUCUAAGUUCACCUUAUGCGUUAAAUUCAGCUCUGGUUUGUUGGCGUUGCGUGCCAGUUGCUGGGGUAGGCGGUGGCUUUCUUAAGGACGCGUGUGGG